rnacentral:tRNA from 1 species
UCUCUGGUGGUCCAGCAGUUAGGACUUUGGCUUGCAAUGCAAGGAGUUCGAGUUUAAUUCCUGAUCAGGGAG